CCUACGGGCGGCAGCAGUGGGGAAUAUUGCGCAAUGGGCGAAAGCCUGACGCAGCGACUCCGCGUGAGGGAUGAAGGUCUUCGGAUCGUAAACCUCUGUCAGCAGGGAAGAACGGUCACUUUGCUAAUCAGCAGUGAAUUGACGGUACCUGCAAAGUAAGCACCGGCUAACUCCGUGCCAGCAGCCGCGGUAAUACGGAGGGUGCGAGCGUUAAUCGGAAUUACUGGGCGUAAAGCGCUCGUAGGCGGUAUGUCAAGUCAAGGGUGAAAUCCCCGCGCUCAACGUGGGAACUGCCUUUGUAACUGGCAAACUGGAGUGUGUCAGAGGAUAGUGGAAUUCCAGGUGUAGGAGUGAAAUGCGUAGAUAUCUGGAGGAACAUCAGUGGCGAAGGCGACUAUCUGGCACAUAACUGACGCUGAGGAGCGAAAGCGUGGGUAGCAAACAGGAUUAGAUACCCGAGUAGUC
rnacentral:rRNA from 1 species